rnacentral:rRNA from 1 species
ACCUAUAAGACUGGGAUAACUUCGGGAAACCGGAGCUAAUACCGGAUAAUAUAUUGAACCGCAUGGUUCAAUAGUGAAAGACGGUUUUGCUGUCACUUAUAGAUGGAUCCGCGCCGCAUUAGCUAGUUGGUAAGGUAACGGCUUACCAAGGCAACGAUGCGUAGCCGACCUGAGAGGGUGAUCGGCCACACUGGAACUGAGACACGGUCCAGACUCCUACGGGAGGCAGCAGUAGGGAAUCUUCCGCAAUGGGCGAAAGCCUGACGGAGCAACGCCGCGUGAGUGAUGAAGGUCUUCGGA